rnacentral:tRNA from 1 species
GCCCCUGUAGUCUAGUUGGCCAAGGAUACUGGCCUCUCGAGCCAGUGACCCGGGUUCAAAGGACGUCUGACGUUCGCUAGCGAAUGUCUGUCUGGAAUUCCCGGCGGGGGCA